GAUGAACGCUGGCGGCGUGCCUAAUACAUGCAAGUCGAGCGAACAGACGAGGAGCUUGCUCCUCUGACGUUAGCGGCGGACGGGUGAGUAACACGUGGAUAACCUACCUAUAAGACUGGGAUAACUUCGGGAAACCGGAGCUAAUACCGGAUAAUAUAUUGAACCGCAUGGUUCAAUAGUGAAAGACGGUUUUGCUGUCACUUAUAGAUGGAUCCGCGCUGCAUUAGCUAGUUGGUAAGGUAACGGCUUACCAAGGCAACGAUGCAUAGCCGACCUGAGAGGGUGAUCGGCCACACUGGAACUGAGACACGGUCCAGACUCCUACGGGAGGCAGCAGUAGGGAAUCUUCCGCAAUGGGCGAAAGCCUGACGGAGCAACGCCGCGUGAGUGAUGAAGGUCUUCGGAUCGUAAAACUCUGUUAUUAGGGAAGAACAAAUGUGUAAGUAACUAUGCACAUCUUGACGGUACCUAAUCAGAAAGCCACGGCUAACUACGUG
rnacentral:rRNA from 1 species